rnacentral:rRNA from 1 species
UGGUUGAUCCUGCCAGUAGUGAUAUGCUUGUUUCAAAGAUUAAGCCAUGCAUGUCUAAGUAUAAGCGAACUUAUACAGUGAAACUGCGGAUGGCUCAUUAAAACAGUUUGAAUUUAUUUGAUGAAUGUAUGAGAAUACUACUUGGAUAACCGUAGUAAUUCUAGAGCUAAUACAUACAACGACGCCCGACCGUUUCACUACGGAAGGGCUGUAUUUAUUGGAUACCAAAACCAUCCUUCCCUCGGGAAGUUUUGUUUGAUGAUUCACAAUAACUGAUCGGAUCGCCACUGUGGUGGCGACAGGUCAUUCAACAUUCUGCCCUAUCAGCUCUCGAUGGUUGUGUAGUGGACAACCAUGGCCAUAACGGGUAACGGAGAAUCAGGGUUCGAUUCCGGAGAGGGAGCUUGAGAAUUGGCUACUACAUCUAAGGAAGGCAGCAGGCGCGCAAAUUACCCAAUCCCGAUUCGGGGAGGUAGUGACAAAAAAUAACAAUACCGGGCCUUUUUGGGCUUGGUAAUUGGAAUGAGGGAGAGUUAAACGGACCAUCGAGUAUCCAUUGGAGGGCAAGUCUGGUGCCAGCAGCUGCGGUAAUACCAGCUCCAAUAGCGUAUAUUAAAGUUGUUGCAGUUAAAGAGCUCGUAGUUGGACUUGUGUGCGCUGUCCGCGGGUGGCCUGCGCCCAAAAGGGCGUUUCGGUUCGGCCCCGGUGGCGCCUUGAAAUCUGCAGCUGGGGGGACGUUGGCCUUAACUGGUCGGCGACCGCACGCCGGCUGCUCGGUUACUGUGAGAAAAUUAGAGUGUUCAAGGCAGGCAUUGGGUGCAAUUGAAUACAUUAGCAUGGAAUAAUAAAAUAUGGCUCCUGCCGUAUUUUGUUGGUUUUGACUGGUGGGAGUAAUGAUUGAUAGGGACGGUUGGGGGUGCUAGUGUUGAGCGGCCAGAGGUGAAAUUCAUGGAUUCGCUCAAGACUAACUUAUGCGAAAGCAUUCACCAAGGACGUCCUCUUUAAUCAAGAACGAAAGUUGGGGGAUCGAAGACGAUCAGAUACCGUCGUAGUCUCAACCAUAAACUAUGUCGACUUGGGAUCGGCGGUAGUUUUUUCAUUAAGACACUGUCGGGACCACGGGAGAAAUCAAAGUGUCUGGACUCUGGGGGAAGUAUGGUCGCAAGGCUGAAACUUGAAGGAAUUGACGGAAGGGCACCACCAGGAGUGGAGCCU